rnacentral:rRNA from 1 species
UACGUAGGGUGCGAGCGUUGUCCGGAAUUACUGGGCGUAAAGAGCUCGUAGGUGGUUUGUCGCGUUGUUCGUGAAAACUCACAGCUCAACUGUGGGCGUGCGGGCGAUACGGGCAGACUGGAGUACUGCAGGGGAGACUGGAAUUCCUGGUGUAGCGGUGGAAUGCGCAGAUAUCAGGAGGAACACCGGUGGCGAAGGCGGGUCUCUGGGCAGUAACUGACGCUGGAGGAAGCGAAAGCGUGGGGAGCGAACCGG